rnacentral:rRNA from 1 species
AGCUCGUGCCUACGGGAGCAGCAGUGGGGAAUAUUGGGCAAUGGGCGCAAGCCUGACCCAGCAACGCCGCGUGAAGGAAGAAGGCUUUCGGGUUGUAAACUUCUUUUCUCAGGGACGAACAGAUGACGGUACCUGAGGAAUAAGCCACGGCUAACUACGUGCC